UACGAAGGGGGCUAGCGUUGCUCGGAAUCACUGGGCGUAAAGGGUGCGUAGGCGGGUCUUUAAGUCAGGGGGUGAAAUCCUGGAGCUCAACUCCAGAACUGCCUUUGAUACUGGCGAUCUUGAGUUCGGGAGAGGUGAGUGGAACUGCGAGUGUAGAGGUGAAAUUCGUAGAUAUUCGCAAGAACACCAGUGGCGAAGGCGGCUCACUGGCCCGAUACUGACGCUGAGGCACGAAAGCGUGGGGAGCAAACAGG
rnacentral:rRNA from 1 species